UAGUAUAGUAUAGUACAGUAUAGUACAGUAUAGUGUAGUGUAGUGUAGUGUAGUGUAGUGUAGUGUAGUGUAGUGUAGUGUGUUGUAGUGUAGUGUAGUGUAGUGUAGUGUAGUGUAGUGUAGUGUAGUGUAUUAUAGUGUAGUGUAGUGUAGUGUGUGUAGUGUAGUGUAGUGUAGUGUAGUGUGUGUAGUGUAGUGUAGUGUAGUGUAGUGUAUUGUAGUGUAGUUGUAGUGUAGUGUAUUAUAGUGUAGUGUAGUGUAGUGUAGUGUAGUGUAGUGUAGUGUAGUGUGUAGUGUAGUGUGUGU
ensembl:lncRNA